UACGUAGGGGGCAAGCGUUGUCCGGAAUCAUUGGGCGUAAAGCGCGUGUAGGCGGCCCGGUAAGUCCGCUGUGAAAGUCGGGGGCUCAACCCUCGAAAGCCGGUGGAUACUGUCGGACUAGAGGGUGGUAGAGGCGAGUGGAAUUCCCGGUGUAGCGGUGAAAUGCGCAGAUAUCGGGAGGAACACCAGUAGCGAAGGCGGCUCGCUGGGCCACACCUGACGCUGAGACGCGAAAGC
rnacentral:rRNA from 1 species